rnacentral:rRNA from 1 species
GCCGCAAGGUUAAAACUCAAAUGAAUUGACGGGGGCCCGCACAAGCGGUGGAGCAUGUGGUUUAAUUCGAUGCAACGCGAAGAACCUUACCUGGUCUUGACAUCCACGGAAGUUUUCAGAGAUGAGAAUGUGCCUUCGGGAACCGUGAGACAGGUGCUGCAUGGCUGUCGUCAGCUCGUGUUGUGAAAUGUUGGGUUAAGUCCCGCAACGAGCGCAACCCUUAUCCUUUGUUGCCAGCGGUCCGGCCGGGAACUCAAAGGAGACUGCCAGUGAUAAACUGGAGGAAGGUGGGGAUGACGUCAAGUCAUCAUGGCCCUUACGACCAGGGCUACACACGUGCUACAAUGGCGCAUACAAAGAGAAGCGACCUCGCGAGAGCAAGCGGACCUCAUAAAGUGCGUCGUAGU